GAUGAACGCUAGCGGCAGGCUUAAUACAUGCAAGUCGAGGGGCAGCAGGGGUAGCAAUACUCGCUGGCGACCGGCAAACGGGUGCGGAACACGUACAGAACCUUCCUUUAAGUGGGGAAUAGCCCAGAGAAAUUUGGAUUAAUACCCCGUAACAUUAUGAAGUGGCAUCACUUUAUAAUUAUAGAUUCAUCGCUUAAAGAUGGCUGUGCGGCUGAUUAGGUAGUUGGCGGGGUAACGGCCCACCAAGCCUGCGAUCAGUAACUGGUGUGAGAGCACGACCAGUCACACGGGCACUGAGACACGGGCCCGACUCCUACGGGAGGCAGCAGUAAGGAAUAUUGGUCAAUGGACGCAAGUCUGAACCAGCCAUGCCGCGUGGAGGAUGAAGGUCCUCUGGAUUGUAAACUUCUUUUAUCUGGGAAGAAACCCACGUUUUCUAAUGUGGUUGACGGUACCAGAUGAAUAAGCACCGGCUAACUCCGUGCCAGCAGCCGCGGU
rnacentral:rRNA from 1 species